GAGGGUGAAAGGCAUUGGCUCAACCAAUGUAAGCCUUUGGAACUGUUAGGCUUGAGUGCAGGAGAGGUAAGUGGAAUUCCUAGUGUAGAGGUGAAAUUCGUAGAUAUUAGGAGGAACACCAGUGGCGAAGGCGACUUACUGGACUGUAACUGACGCUGAUGCACGAAAGCGUGGGUAGCGAACAGGAUUAGAUACCCUGGUAA
rnacentral:rRNA from 1 species